CUGUCAUUGGCCCUGAAUUUCUUAAAAUGACCUUAUUUUAGUCGUCUGAAACCGGCGGACUAUACGCAUUCUGUAUCAAGUAUGAACAAAUAUAGUCCAGAUUGAAAUGAUACUAUUUUUUGAGUCAAAAUCGUAAAAAAAAACUUUUGUCGCAAGCUAUCUCUAUAUCAAGUAUGAGCUUACAGAUAUCCUCGAUUACAUAUAAAUGAUUGCAACAAAACAUUAAUUAUUUCUCCAGUGACCUUGAAUUUGCCGUAAUAUUGCCUUGAAUAAAUACAAUGACACAUCCUAGGAUCAUUUGAAAUCGAUUACGAGCUUCCGGUUUCUUUAUGUUAUAGCCUGGCCCUCUGGGAAAAACUUUGAGGGACAGACAGACAUAUGGACAGUUAAACAGACAGUUUAAUUUCCAUCCCAUCCACACUAACCCCCAAAAUACACAAUCACUUUGCAAGGGAAAACUCUAGUCAUGAUUUGAAAAAAAGUAAUCUUUUUUAUAUCAGGAAGCUUUAAUAAAUAUGGUUUCUCAUUCUUGCCCUGUAGUUCGUAAGAAUAAUAUUUUAAAACAACCCGUUCUUAUUUUUACUAACCGUUUUCUUCAUUUUACAUCCCCCACGGUCGCCGUGAUUAGAGCGUCUGCUCUAUAGUCGCGAAGUAAGGAGUUGAUCCUUACGUCGUGGUUUCGAAUCCCACUGUGGGACAUGGGGACCUGUCCUUCCGAAGAGACCGCAUAAAACACGUACUGUGUCGCUUUAGGUGCUGGCACAAAAAAAGAUCCCUCCCUGUUCAAAGGCCCUAAGCGCUGAUUAUAGGACAAUUAAUGUUUGACUAUUAUGUUGGUUAUGACGGUUAACAGUUUAAAUUAGGUCAUAAAAGUGUGUAAUUACAUGAUAAGUCUGUAAUAUUCAGUAGCUGCAGAUUGUUAUAUAAGUUCUUACAUUUUCGAUUUUGGAUAUACACUACUUACAUGAUCAUUGUAUAACCUGCUACUGAUUUUUUUAAAAUAACGGAACAAAAUAAAAUUAUUACAAUGUUAGCACACUAUACUAAUCAUUUACGGGUUUUGAAUAAAUUAUAAAACAAAUUGAAUUCAUUGCUUUAAAAUCUUGAAUUAUUUUUUUCAACUUUUCUAUUCAACCUGUGAGCUAAAAAGGCAUUGUGCACCACAGAAGUCACUUAUGAAGUUUACACGUUCCGGAGAUACUUAUCGAUGUUUAAUCCAUUUCAUUGAGUAUAAUUCUUAUUUCUAAAUAGAUUCUUAUGAUUCGGAAGAUUCUCUUUAAAAGUUCAAAACUGGUAUAGCCAUGGUAAAAAUCUGUGAUGAAAAAAAAUGUGUUUGGAAAAAUGUGUGUUGAAAAAGGAUUUAUUUGUGUGUUAAAAGCGCAAAGCUUGUACAUUGAAAUCAAUAUUGGUUGAAGUAAAGUAACCACAGUUUGCCAGUCCUUACGCUAUGAAUGGUCAAAAUGAAAAGUAAAAUUACACAUGGAGCUAACGAACUUUAACAAUUGAAGACUGAUUAAUGUACAUGUAAAAUAAAUGCCCCAGCGUUUUGUACUAAGGUCAAACCUAAGAUAUCUUAAGAUAUUUUUGAAAGAUUCGACUCACUCAAAGAAAAUAAGGUUUUCCCGUAAGUUGGUAAAAUUAGAUUUAACAUGCGACCACGCAGUCUAAAUUAAUUUCAACAAACGAUGGAAGGAAUUGUUGGUCGCGUAAUUGUAAACAAACACAAAACCUAGUUAGCUGUUUUAGAUAAACAUGUAUCACGAUCAAAUUUAAAACAAAGAUAAACCAACAUAUUAAUCUCAAAUAAUAAUUUUCCAUUAAUUGUCAUGUUGAAAAAUGGUUUUAAUGUUUUAAUAUACCAAUUAUUUUGCCUAUGACUGCGGGGUCAAUGGUUCGCCGCGGUGUGCCGCUUUUGAUUUUCUCGGACGCAUAUAAUCGAAAGAUAGAUUACGUAAUGGUAAAACACUUAAAAUCUGGAUUCCAGGUGAAUGUGAGAAUCGCGCAGUAAAUAAUUGUGUAUUAUUUGACUCUUAAAAAAGUUUUGUUUUUUUUAUGAGAUCCGGGCGUAUAUUGUUUUCGUUCAUAUUGUUUGUAGUCAUAUUUAAACGAGGAAAAGAUACUCGAGCUCGUGCUUUUUUUCUAUAACUCUUUUUCUUGGAAAGAUCUUGAUUAAUAAAAGGAAAAUGAUGCCAUUGUAUACUCUGAACGGGAACCAAAGAACACGUUUAAUUAAAACCUAACUUAAAAAAGAAAUAUGAUACAGCGUAGUAAAAUAUUUAUCACUUACGGCAAGUGUACUUCAAUUCUACGCUUAAAGAGUUCUCCUUCAAUAGCAAAAUGAGAACUGUCUAGCUUUCUUUCCUACAAUAAGUAAGACUCAAACAAAAUAAUAUUUUCAUAGGACAGAGAUAGUAUUAAGGAACACUAUUAUAUUUAAAAAAUGAAUUUAACCAUUCUGUGUUUUUAUUUGUGUAUGACUGUGGGUCGCUGGAUCACACGCCGAUUGAUUCCCGGUGACCGACUUUGUCCCGCGCUAUCGAGGGAGGCGUGUUAUAUAAUUGUAAACAAACAAUGUGAAUAUAAAAGGCGUGCACUUGAUGGUGGUGAAUAGUAUAUGCUUUAUAGUAAUGUUUUAUUUUCUCAGUAUAUUGUGUGUUUUUAUGUGAUAAGAAGAAAAGAUUAUCUUUUCUUCCCUUUUUAGUAGACUUGGUUUAUACGAUUUAAAAAAAUGAAAUGAAAGAGAAAGUUGUCAGUAAAAAAGCAUGAUAAUUUGGGGAAAAAAGCACAAAACACUUCAAGAACUUUAUUCUUAAGAACAUGAGCAUCCAGUGUAGUCAUGUUUUUUAUUUAAAGUAAGUUUGUUUUAUAUACACGCAUGAGGAGCUCUCGUUUACGUGCGGAGUGAAAAGAAUUACCUGUACAUAAAUAGGUCAUGCAUCUAGCUCAUUAAAACAAGAUUCGAACAAAAUAACAAUUCCAUGAGAUCAGUAACAUGUUAAAGCACAUUUUAUAAUCGAUAGUCAUUUCGAAAUAUUUACCAUUUUUGAGUUAUAAAGCAAAAAAUUUAAAGGACCCUAGAUCCCUUAUUUUAGGGGCCAGCCCCUUUUUAAUGAUAUCAAAUGAAAGCUCUUGCAAUUAUGCACAACUUUUGUUCUACAUGUCUUAACAAAAUAUUUUUAGUUUUCAAGAUAAAAAGGAAAAUAUGUGUAAAUUUUUGCUCUUUUGGGCGUUCUAAUUUUUGACCCCUAUAUAGCGCCAUUUUGAAUACAGAAAUCGAAAAACAAAAACCGAUGUGCACAACUUCAAUCCUUCUGUUGUCUAAAACCAGUAAAAUUUUUGCUCCAGCUUUUGUGGUCUCUGAGCCUUUAUCCGGAAACGAAAGUCUAUAAUUUUUCGUAAAAAGGGAAAUAACUCCUAAGCGGAAGUAAUUUUUUAAAAUGUUAGACAGCAUUCUGAUAGAGUUCAUUACUUUCAAUAAUGUCUGAAAAUUUGAGCAAAAUCUAUUGAGAAAUGAGUGAGAUAUGAGGCCUCAAAGUUGGCGUUUAGGAAGUAGAAGAAAA